ACCCCUCCCUUUCUCUUUCAACUUCAUGACCUCUUUUCUUUUGUUUUUAUACACAUACAUACACACAUAUGUAUGUAUGUAUACAAAUGUAUGCAUGCAUUCCUAAAUAUAUAAAGACAAUUUGCUUAGCCCAUAUAAUGCUACUUGAAUGAACACAUUCAGGCUGUCCAUUUUCUAUUAGAUAACCAGUUGGUAUGCUCUUUUAGAAAACCACAACUGAACAAACACAGAGUUGUAGUGUCCAGCCCCAAAUGACACAUCUACAACACAAUUUCUUCACCUAGGGCUCAGGGAUCACUGUGCAACAGAGGAUGAAAAGAUUCUAAGAUCCAGGGGACCAGGGAGUUUGCUGUGAGAUUGUGUCUUCCAGGAUUGUUAGAGGAACAUCUUUAUAAAUGUCCUCAGUUGCAGGCCUGUACAAUGUUGUAGGACUGAGAUUUUAAAAUCCAGUUGUUAGUAAGAAACACGCUUAAUCAUUGGUAUAAGUACUGGAUCUGUGAUACACGACAAAAGCAACAGAGUAUUGAUUAAAGUAAUGAUCAUUCUUUAAUGCCCUCCUUUAAGGAAAUUAUCUUUCUAGUUGCAGAAAGCAACUUUGAACAAGUAACUGGACUUUUUUCAGUUUUUUUCUCCCCAGUAGCUGUGCUAUUAACAAAGUCAUCUGUUUGCCUUGCUUCCUAUUGAGUGAUAUUUGCUAGGUCUGUUCCUUGGCUGUAUCUUGGACUUCACAGCCCCAUUAGUUCAUGAUGUUCUAUCUUCUCAAAUGUGGCUAUUAUCAGGGUCUUAUUGAGAUCCAAGCCAGUUUUUAUUCCUCCACAUUGAUUUGUUACGUGCAGGCUCCUCAGAGUACCCUAAUUCCCAUGAAGCAACUCAAUUUCCUGUAGGAAUGGCUCAAACCUUGGUUACCAUGACUUCUGUGAUCUUGGGCAUUUCUUUCUUCCUUUUCUCCCCUCCUCUCUCUAAGUGUGAUAGCUUUUGGUACUUACAUAGUCUUGUAGUAAAUUAUAUUUAUGUAACAUGUGCUUCCUUGAGGCAAGACAGCAACAGAUGAGCCUUCCUGAUUUUUUUCUCUCCAGCAUCUUUUCAUAUAUUCCCCCUUACAUCCUUCAAAGAAAAACUUGGAUGCCUUUCCUGCAUUUUCUUUUGUCCACACAUGUGUCAGAGAGCCAUUCAGUCUCUACCUCUUCAAUGUUGGGUACUUUUGGUCCAGGGAACCCAUUACAGUCCUGCAUUCCUUGCUAGGGAUUAUUUUAAGCACUUACACAUAAUAUUGGGAAGAGCCUGCUGAGAAGGUUUUUCAUUACUGGGAACUACUCCUUCUCCUUUUAGGUGUUCCUAUGUGUUGAUUUUUGUGCUGUGUCUACUGAAGGCAUAUUUGGCUGUGUUAAACCUUAGCACCAAUCUGGUGAAUUCAAAAAGGAGAGUGGUGAGGUGGCUUGAACAGCUUUCUGGUGGCAGAUUCAGCAGCUACUGAACCCAACUUAUAAUAUUGAGCUUCUGGAAUCUUAUUUAAAGUAUUCAUCCUUGCGCUUUGAACCCCCACUGAAUUGUGUUUCCAUUUCUUGCUGGAAAGCCUGGCUGAGUGUGUGCCUGCCCUGUAUCAGUUAGAAGAAUCACACAAGUUUUUUUAAACUCUUGUUUUCUUGCCAAGUAUAUUGGGGAGAUUAAAUAGCACAGUAAAAUGAACAUUUAUUGAGCCUAUUAUUUUCAGCCUUUUGCUAAAUGCUUCAUAUUUAGAAGCCCCCAUUACUGCUGACAUCUAGUCUGUGAGAAACGUUGGUUUUUCACCUAAUCCUGACUUUGAAAUGUGUUUGGUGUCAAGGAGAAAAAAAAUCAUGUGAUAGGAUCCUCAUUUUGAGAAGAAUGUUGGUAGCAAAAGCUUCUGUAAUUCCAUUUGGCUUGUGAUAAGGCAUAGGGGAGUACUAUUUUUAAUUAUCUGACCAGGCUGACAGAGUAUGAAAUGAUGGUGAUUGAAGAAUAAGGUUGCAAAGUGUAGAUGAUCAACCUUGAAGGGCCUGAAAAAUAUGCAAAUUAGAUAUGACCUGAUGGAAGUUAAGCUAGGAAACCAUGAGGGUUUUCCCCCAUUUUUUUGCCAAGGAGAAGAAAAAGACCAAACAUCCAUGCCUUAAUUAGAAAGCUGUUGCAGCGAAAACUGGAGAGGAAAGUCUAAAUUAAAACUGCAAUCAAUUCCCACAUAUUCAAAUAUUAUUUUUCUUUUUUUUUCCUUUCCCCCUUUUCUCCUUAAAAACUCACUGCUACAAAAACCACCUGCUGAUGUUGCUUGCUGUCUGCCUUAGCCUGAUCCAGAGGCAGCCUGCCCCCAUCUGGGGUUAUAAAUCUCCUUUGUGCUAAGAUUUUGGUGUCUGGGAGGGAUUGAAUUCAGGUCAUGAAGCUUGAUGACAAGCACCUUUACCUGACAAGUAAUUGAGGAUGACAUAUAGAGCCACACAUGGCCACAUACUACCAGUCAACAUGUGUGAGUAUUGAAGACAACUGCAUGGAAAUGACCCAUGUACAAUUGAUUUGACCAAUGGUUAAAAAGGCUAUAUAGAAUACCCAAAGAGUACCUAAUUAAAAGUUUCCCUAAUCGGCAUUGUUAACACACUUCUAAAGAUGUUUUAUCUGUUUAAAAUGUAUGGAAGUAUGAAAAAUACACUGGCUAUAGUUUAUGUAAGAAUCAUUUCUAGUAAAUUGACAUUUUCCUAGUGAAGGAUUAAUGACCUAAAAGCCUCAGUUGAACUAAGAAGUUCUGUAUGAGAAAUUUGACUUAACUGAUUUCAUAUGUUUCUGAUAAGCACAUUGGCAUCCCUCUUUAGGUAGGAUCUAUCACUUUGAGGCUGCAGGGGAACUGAUUUGCUGGUAGAAUCAUCUAAAAGACUUCUUUCUAUCCUAUAAAAUCUCAAAGCACAUCCACUCUCACAUACCAUGUGUGUACAAUUUAUAUUUCCAAGGAGAAAUCAGUUUAUCUGAUUAAAACAGCAAUGAAUGCUUCUUAGAACUCAGGGUAGCAUUCAUUGUCUAGGGAAAGUUUUGCAAAUAGUGGGUACAUCUACUUGAAUUAAAUAUCAAGGUAGUCUCUGAUGGCAUGACCAGAAGCCUAUCUCCUAUGCGAUUCUAUAUUGUGUUAUGUUUUCAAUUAACGCUUUCCAUCACAUUAGAUUCUGAAGUAAGAAACAGGAUUCUUUUAGUGCUUGAUUUAAGUCCAACUGUAAGGGACUUAAAUCAUGAGUCAAAAUUGCUGUUUGCAUUGCUAUGUUUAUUGGAGUCUGGUCAGGUUUUAUUUUGGUUUAAUAUAGAGGCUUUAGCUCAAUGGCUCAGUACUUGUCUCACCUCUGUCUUCUUUAAGUACAGGUAGGUAUCCUUCUGCUUACAGUGUAACUCCAGUCAAAAUAAGGAUAUGUUCUUCUUGGGAAUUUUGAGCAAUCAAUGCUUGUGCAUUCCCACACUACCGAAAAGAAAUUAUUGAACUUUUAUUACUUCCCUUUGCACCUGUCCAUGCCUGUGAAAUGUAAUGAAAAAAAUCUCAACCACUGUAGCAUAAUCUACCUUACUUGGUCCUGAAUUAUUCAUUUGGAUGAGGGGUUAUCAUCUCAGUUUCUGUUUAAUUUUUCAGCUAUAGGCUUUCUCUGUACUAAUAGUUCCAUGUUUCCAGAGUAAAAUAUGUGGACCUGAUUGGAUGAUGUCCAGCAUUACCCCCUCAAUUCCAGAGCUGUGCAUAUUGCCACUGGCCCACAUUCCUAGUGCUAACCUGAAUUUCAUCAUCUGAGAUUUAGGGCACAUUUAGGAUGGUUUGGGAUGCUUGGGUGACUGAGUGAGUAGCCUUCUUCUAAUUCAUGCUCUGUUGGCCCACAGACCUCUGACAGCCAAGUCUGCUCUGUUUAAUUUGCCACAUUGCUUGCACCAAGAAGUUUACCUUUUAAGAAACUGCAGUGGAAAACUUCCAGGACAUCUGCCAUUCUAAUUUAUACUUUAGAGGAUAAGGCUGCUUAGAAAGGCCAUGGAAAUGACCAAAUUUAUUCCCAUUUAUUCAAUUUUAAUAUCUCUUUCAGGAAAGUAGGCUAGUUGCUAAGAAUUUUGAGGAUUCACCCUCUUUCACAGAGCUUUAAGUGCUGCCCUUAAAAUCAGCAACUUGAAAGGAGCACUUCAAAAGAGUCUGCAAUAUCUCUUAAACCUUUUUUUUUUAACCUAGCAAAGUAAGUCAAAGAAUUGCGAAGAUGCUGUUCUGUUCUGAAGGCUUGGUCUUCCCUGCAUUUCAGGAGCCAUUACAGAGAAAGAUGGGAAGCCUUCCACUGGUUCUUGAACUUUUCCUAAUCCAUCCUAUGCUGUUUAAGAUGACAGCCAUCUUUCUGCUAAAAGCAAGUGACUAUUUCUUACCCUCCUUUGUAUGUUGUGAGGCUUACUUUCCAAGCCCAUAAAACUGGAAUAAGUUAGUCCCUGUAGAACAUAGAAUUAAUAUCAUUAGGCCAAUUAUCUCUUAAUAAAUGUAAUGAAGAAGCAAUUGAAAAAAGUAUUAAAUAUAACUACCUUCCUAAACUUACCAGUAGAUCCUGAAGAGUUAAUUAUUUCGCAGAGAGGGAAGAAAAUAAAUUUAUUUGUUGACAGUGACUGCUACAAAUCCCUUGACAGGAGUUUUCACAAGAACAUUCAUGUGUUACUUGCACAACAAUACUAUAAUAUAUGUGGAAUUAUUCCUAUGUCUAUGGAACAUAAUGGAAUUUCAAAUGAGAUUAUGAAACUCAGUGCCAAUAUAUUAAAAAAUGAUUAUAAGUAUGCAUAUUGAACUCUGAAGCUGAUCUUUCUUCCUCAUGUUCAGUGGUAAUCUGGAGUUUUAUUUUGUGAAAUCCUUUGUCAACCAUUGUAAUAACAUUUAUUGAAUAUUUACACUGAAUCAGGCUUUAUGCCAAGCAUUCGACAUAACUAUUUUAUUUGAUUUUCAUAACAAACAAAAUUUGUUCCUGAGAUGAAGAUAUAGAAUCCCAGUAAGAGGCACAGUCUCUAUCUUUUAUUUAUUCCAUGCUCAGAGAUUAUUAAAAAAUAAAAUAUGAAUCUGAUCAUGC